rnacentral:rRNA from 1 species
GCAUAUCAAUAAGCGGAGGAAAAGAAACUAACAAGGAUUCCCCUAGUAACGGCGAGUGAAGCGGGAAAAGCUCAAAUUUGUAAUCUGGCGCCUUCGGUGUCCGAGUUGUAAUCUCGAGAAGUAUUUUCCGCGCUGGACCGCACAUAAGUCUGUUGGAAUACAGCGUCAUAGUGGUGAGAACCCCGUAUAUGGUGCGGAUGCCCAGUGCUUUGUGAUAUACUUUCGAAGAGUCGAGUUGUUUGGGAAUGCAGCUCAAAUUGGGUGGUAAAUUCCAUCUAAAGCUAAAUAUUGGCGAGAGACCGAUAGCGAACAAGUACCGUGAGGGAAAGAUGAAAAGCACUUUGGAAAGAGAGUUAACAGUACGUGAAAUUGUUGGAAGGGAAACGCUUGAAGUCAGACUUGCAUUUUGGAGUUCAGCCGCAAGGUGUAUUCUUCAAAUCGCAGGCCAGCAUCAGUUUUUGGGGGUGGAAAAUCGCGGUUUGAAGGUAGCAGUCUCGGCUGUGUUAUAGCUUUCCGCUGGAUUCACUUUUGGGGACUGAGGAACGCAGUACGCUUUUUGCAAGACUCUAGAGUCUUCCGUACUUAGGAUGCUGGUGGAAUGGCUUUAAACCACCCGUCUUGAAACACGGACCAAGGAGUCUAACAUGU